rnacentral:lncRNA from 1 species
CGCAUGGACUUCGUGCCGGAGAAGUCGGCGCUCGAGGUCGACGAGAUCCGCGUCGACAAGGAGACCAUGGACAUGCUGGCGUUCCUCGGCAUGGCCGACCUCCCCGGCGUCGAGCGCGCCCCCGAAGUCACCUCCUCCGCCGCCCCCUACCGCCAGCCGUUCAACGGGCCCCGUGGUGGCAACCGCGCCUAGGUUCCUCCGCAUCGUCGUCGUACCCCUAUAUUAUGCUUUAUGUCAUUUAGAUCUGUUACUUGUGGCAAGUAAUGUUUUGAACUCAGAGCUUAAGUUCGAGGUGUUUUGAUCUGCGUAUGGUGGACAUGAUCUGUUUAUCUCACCGUUUAUCUGAAGUGAUUCGAUAUAUUACUGUUUUUCUUUGAAGUUUAUGCUCGUUACUAGAUGAUUG